UCUGGUCGUGCUUUAUUUCUCACCAUCAACUUCAAGUUUCUCAUAUACCUUUCUGGGAUACAUCCAUCUAUAUUGUACAGAUCCAGAUACUUUCACCUCUUCAGCAAGAUGUAUCACUAAAUGUACCAUCACAUCAAAAAAUAAAGGAGAAAAUACCAUUUCGAGCUUACAAAGUGUUAAGACAAUUUCAUUCUGAAGACGAUCAAGAU
rnacentral:lncRNA from 1 species